UACGUAGGGGCUAGCGUUAUCCGGAAUUACUGGGCGUAAAGGGUGCGUAGGUGGUUUCUUAAGUCAGAGGUGAAAGGCUACGGCUCAACCGUAGUAAGCCUUUGAAACUGGGAAACUUGAGUGCAGGAGAGGAGAGUGGAAUUCCUAGUGUAGCGGUGAAAUGCGUAGAUAUUAGGAGGAACACCAGUAGCGAAGGCGGCUCUCUGGACUGUAACUGACGCUGAGGCACGAAAGCGUGGGGAGCAAACAGGAUUAGAUACCUCUGUAGUCCCUGA
rnacentral:rRNA from 1 species